GCUAAUAAUUGUGGAGGGUUUCAAUUCUUUUUGAAGAGUUUUAUAACUUGCUACAUUUUUCUUUUACUAUUUUUUUCUUUUUCUAUUUUUUUCAACUGCACCCUCUCAAAAUUUUAAGUUUAGUACAUCCUUUUUCCCAAAUUUGAAAACCAAAGUUCUAAGCGCGAUUUCCCCCUUCUGCUUCUUCAUCCAUUAAUUUCUUUUUCACUCUCACAGUACAGAAAACUAAAAACCCUAAUAAUCGGUUAUCACUUCCAAAUCUUGCAAAUCUCAAGGGGUCGAAGCAAUUAGUGUCCCAACAACACUUCCUCCUAUUACCAGCCCUUGUCCUCCACCAGGUAUGGUCAAAGUAGUAGCGGCUGGCGGACAACGGACAAGAUCUCGAACCUACCGUGGAGUGUGACGAUGGUGUCAGAAGAAAUGGAUUGGCAUAGGGUUAUAUUGGUGACAAUUCCAGUGCUGCCUCCUUAGCGGCAGCGUGCGAAGGUGGAGACGCUAUUGAUGGUGUCGCAACCAUCGGUUACUUCCAUGUCGUGCGUUUUGAAGGUUUAAAUCCCUCUGUGGCAUGGAUGGGAUCCUGCUUUGUUGUGAUGGGUGUCCCUCUGCUUAUCAUUCAAGGUGUAUUGGUGUGUUGAAAAAUCAUAUACCAGAAGGGCCAUGAUAUUGUCCAGAGUGCAAAAUAAAUAUGUUGGGGCCAACCAUUGCAAAGGGAACAUCACUUCGAGGGGCUGAAAUAUUUGGAAAGGAUUUGUAUGGGCAACUCUUCAUGGGAACUUGCAAACGUCUACUUGUGCUGAAUAUUGGCAAUGCUGAAUCCUGUCUUAGGUACUACAAUUAGAAUGAAGCAAUCAAAUUUCUUAUGGGCUGCAUCCAGACUUCUCUUUUGUUGGAAUUGGUCCCACUGUAAUACAACUGAAUUCACUACUGUUGAGGAUAUACGCAAGCCCCUUGUGUUGAAGGAACUUAGAAAAUUGUGGGAAAAGGAAGAACCUGAUCUACCAUGGGAGGAGGGAGAGUUGAAAAACAAGUUCUAGAGGGUAGCACAUGUUUAAAAAAAAAAUAGUCGAGUUCACAAACACGGUUGAAAGUACCUACCAAAUAGGAAAAGCAUGAGAAACCUCAACAAACUCAUCCAAGUCCAACAUAUAUAUAUUGAUUCGAAAGUUAAAACUCCAACAGGAUGAUGUUUUGUAGUGGUUUUUUUUAGGUCAUCAACAUUUUUCAAUUGGUGUAGUUAGAUUUUUUAGUCAAUCUUGUAAUGUUCUUUAAACAAUAUUAUGUAUUUUUUUUUUUAUUUACAUUGUAA